rnacentral:tRNA from 1 species
ACUUAUAUAGUUUAAUAAAACAUUACAUUUUCACUGUAAAAUUAACUAAAAUUUUUAAGUA